rnacentral:rRNA from 1 species
UUCCAGUGCGGAGUCUGGAGACACCCAGGGGGAAGCGAAGACCCUAUGGAGCUUUACUGCAGGCUGUCGCUGAGACGUGGUCGCCGAUGUGCAGCAUAGGUAGGAGACACUACACAGGUACCCGCGCUAGCGGGCCACCGAGUCAACAGUGAAAUACUACCCGUCGGUGACUGCGACUCUCACUCCGGGAGGAGGACACCGAUAGCCGGGCAGUUUGACUGGGGCGGUACGCGCUCGAAAAGAUAUCGAGCGCGCCCUAUGGCUAUCUCAGCCGGGACAGAGACCCGGCGAAGAGUGCAAGAGCAAAAGAUAGCUUGACAGUGUUCUUCCCAACGAGGAACGCUGACGCGAAAGCGUGGUCUAGCGAACCAAUUAGCCUGCUUGAUGCGGGCAAUUGAUGACAGAAAAGCUACCCUAGGGAUAACAGAGUCGUCACUCGCAAGAGCACAUAUCGACCGAGUGGCUUGCUACCUCGAUGUCGGUUCCCUCCAUCCUGCCCGUGCAGAAGCGGGCAAGGGUGAGGUUGUUCGCCUAUUAAAGGAGGUCGUGAGCUGGGUUUAGACCGUCGUGAGACAGGUCGGCUGCUAUCUACUGGGUGUGUA